AAUAAGUGCAGUUUUAGCACUAUUCAUGUCUAACGUUUAACCGUUCGUCUUAUUUGAAAAAAAAUUAUGAUUAGUAUUUUGUUGUUAUUACAUGAUAAAAUAUGAGUAGUACUUUAUGUGUGACUAAUUUUUUUUAAUUUUUUUAUAAAUUUUUCAAAUAAGACAAACGAUCAAAACGCUAAACACGGAUAUCCAUGACUGCACUUAUU
rfam:Oryza barthii chromosome 4, whole genome shotgun sequence.